rnacentral:rRNA from 1 species
CCGGCGACCGGCGCACGGGUGAGUAACACGUAUGCGACCUGCCCCCCGCAGGGGGAUAACCGGGAGAAAUCCCGACUAAUACCGCGUAACGCCGCGGGGCUGCAUGGCCCUGCGGCCAAAGGGAGCGAUUCCGGCAACGGAUGGGCAUGCGUGACAUUAGCUAGUUGGCGGGGCAACGGCCCACCAAGGCGACGAUGGAUAGGGGUUCUGAGAGGAAGGUCCCCCACAUUGGAACUGAGACACGGUCCAAACUCCUACGGAAGGCAGCAG